GACAGAGGGUGCAAACGUUGCUCGGAAUCACUGGGCGUAAAGGGCGUGUAGGCGGGGAGGCAAGUCGGGCGGGAAAUCCCUGAGCUCAACUCAGGAACUGCACUCGAAACUGCUUAUCUUGAGUACCGGAGAGGAAAGCGGAAUACCUGGUGUAGAGGUGAAAUUCGUAGAUAUCAGGUGGAACACCAGUGGCGAAGGCGGCUUUCUGGACGGUAACUGACGCUGAGACGCGAAAGCGUGGGGAGCAAACAGG
rnacentral:rRNA from 1 species